rnacentral:tRNA from 1 species
UGCGGAUUAAUGUAAUAGUAACAUAUUAGGCUCAUGACCUGAAAAUUUGGGUGCAAAUCCUAAGUCCGUAU